GGAAAAGAAACUUACGAGGAUUCCCCUAGUAACGGCGAGCGAACCGGGAAUAGCCCAACUUGAGAAUCGGGCGACCACGUCGCUCGAAUUGUAGUCUG
rnacentral:rRNA from 1 species